AGCUUUGCGCAGUGGCAGUAUCGUAGCCAAUGAGGUUUAUCCGAGGCGCGAUUAUUGCUAAUUGAAAAAUAAAAAUGACAACCUAGAGUGAUCAGUCUCUGGUUAAAGUUUAACUGCAGUAUAAUUACAUAAAAUAUUGCAAAAUA